rnacentral:rRNA from 1 species
UACGAAGGGUGCAAACGUUGCUCGGAAUUAUUGGGCGUAAAGGGCGCGUAGGCGGCUUGGCAAGUGGAAGGUGAAAUCCCUCGGCUUAACCGAGGAACUGCCUUCCAGACUGCUUUGCUUGAGGCCGGGAGAGGCGAGUGGAAUUCCCAGUGUAGCGGUGAAAUGCGUAGAUAUUGGGAGGAACACCAGUGGCGAAGGCGGCUCGCUGGACCGGUUCUGACGCUGAGGCGCGAAAGCGUGGGGAGCAAACGGG